rnacentral:rRNA from 1 species
CCUACGGGAGGCAGCAGUGAGGAAUAUUGGUCAAUGGGCUUACGCCUGAACCAGCCAAGUCGCGUGAGGGAAGACUGCCCUAUGGGUUGUAAACCUCUUUUGUCAGGGAGCAACGCCGGCUACGUGUAGCCGGACUGAGAGUACCUGAAGAAAAAGCAUCGGCUAACUCCGUGCCAGCAGCCGCGGUAAUACGGGGGAUGCGAGCGUUAUCCGGAUUUAUUGGGUUUAAAGGGUGCGUAGGCGGAAUGCCAAGUCAGCGGUAAAAUCGCGGGGCUCAACCUCGCUCCGCCGUUGAAACUGGCGUGCUUGAGUGGGCGAGAAGUAUGCGGAAUGCGUGGUGUAGCGGUGAAAUGCAUAGAUAUCACGCAGAACUCCGAUUGAGAAGGCAGCAUACCGGCGCCCAACUGACGCUGAAGCACGAAAGCGUGGGUAUCGAACAGGAUUAGAUACCCUGGUAGUC